rnacentral:lncRNA from 1 species
GGGUGACAGAGCAAGACUCCCGUCUCGGGGGCUUAAAAAAAAAAAAUGCUGUAUCUAAAUGAAUCUGUGUAAUUGGGCCCAGAUGUGGGUUUGCUCAGUAUUAGUAGACAAGGUCUUUGUUCAGACGAUUAGGUGCCUAACUGGCAAAUGCCUUAGUUUCUUAAAACGUAUUUUCUGAUGUGGCUUUACAUUUCAAAAGUGAACUUGAUUCAACCUGAGAAAACUGAUUAAAAAAUUAGUUUAAAUUUGCCAGCAGGGAAGUAAAAUAAUUAUGGGAAGAGUGUCUUAAGCCUAAUAUUAAAUCAGUUUUGUUAAGGGGAAAACUCAAUAGUUCUGUUACUUAGGCUGUUAGAUCCAAGUUGAUUUUUGUGUCUACAGCUAAAUUUUGUUUACAAUUAGGCUAUUUUUUAAUAUAGGAUUUAGAAACCAAGGGUAUGUGUUUUAAAAUUACACUUUUUCUUAACCUGUCUAGCUGUCGGAAAAGGUAACAGAAGAUGGAACUCGAAAUCCCAAUGAAAAACCUACCCAGCAAAGAAGCAUAGCUUUUAGCUCUAAUAAUUCUGUAGCAAAGCCAAUACAAAAAUCAGCUAAAGCUGCCACAGAAGAGGCAUCUUCAAGAUCACCAAAAAUAGAUCAGAAAAAAAGUCCAUAUGGACUGUGGAUACCUAUCUAAAAGAAGAAAACUGAUGGCUAAGUUUGCAUGAAAACUGCACUUUAUUGCAAGUUUCUCUUGCAGAUAUGAGAGAUAGCACAGAUGGACCAAAGGUUAUGCACAGGUGGGAGUCUUUUGUAUAUAGUUGUAAAUAUUGUCUUGGUUAUGUAAAAAUGAAAUUUUUUAGACACAGUAAUUGAACUGUAUUCCUGUUUUGUAUAUUUAAUAAAUUUCUUGUUUUCAUUCUUA